rnacentral:antisense_RNA from 1 species
CCAACGACCAAAGCAAAGGACAGCAUAACUGAAUGACACAUUGCUCAGAAAAUAUCCAAAGCUCUGUACGCUCUGGAAAGGAAGGCAAGAAUUGCUAAAGACUCUGGAUAUUGCUCUGUUUCUAUAAGGUCCCACCCAUAUACCAUCUCUUCUUUUGGAUUUCCUUUGGCAGUAACCUGAAGUUAUAUAAGUGGCAUGUUGCCAAGUACAAAGGGAGCCCUUCUAUUGCUUCUGCUUACAAAGAGGUGUCAACGUAAGAAAAAGCCAGAACAAGUCAAAGUUCAGGGUUCCCUUGUAUGGAAGUUCUCGGGAGAACAACACUCUCAGAGUCCCAUUGUCUCAAAGAAUUCUUAAUGGACAGCUAUACUUGGCCCCAAGGUUCCAACCUCACAUUGAAGAAAGUGACAUAAGAAAACACAAGUCCCAGCGCUAUCAGGGGCUAUCUGGAAAAGCUGCUUAAACGGCAAGUGAAAGAAGGCUCUCCCCUACCCCGUUCUAGAUGACAGGUCCUAUGUAAGAUACACAUACCACAUGCUGUCAACCCAUCUGAGACACUCAGCUUUCAAAUGACAGCUCUUCUCUGAAGCUAACCUAGCCAAAAGAGUGAAGUACACUAUCCAUUAAGCUGUGUCAGUAGCUAAGUCUGUGUGUCUAAAUUAAAAACAUACUCACCCUGAAGUUAUUUGAAGGAUCCUUGAAACUCUUUUGGAUUGCUGCUUGGAGAACAUUCCUGUAACUUGUUCCUGCUCCUUGAACUAUAAAAGCAGAAGGGAAUUACUGAGUUAAAACUUAUAAAUUAUUAUCAAAUAAAUCUUCAACAGUGGU